rnacentral:rRNA from 1 species
GACGCUCAGGUGCGAAAGCGUGGGGAGCAAACAGGAUUAGAUACCCUGGUAGUCCACGCCGUAAACGAUGUCUACUUGGAGGUUGUGCCCUUGAGGCGUGGCUUCCGGAGCUAACGCGUUAAGUAGACCGCCUGGGGAGUACGGCCGCAAGGUUAAAACUCAAAUGAAUUGACGGGGGCCCGCACAAGCGGUGGAGCAUGUGGUUUAAUUCGAUGCAACGCGAAGAACCUUACCUGGUCUUGACAUCCACAGAACUUUCCAGAGAUGGAUUGGUGCCUUCGGGAACUGUGAGACAGGUGCUGCAUGGCUGUCGUCAGCUCGUGUUGUGAAAUGUUGGGUUAAGUCCCGCAACGAGCGCAAC